CCUCGAUCAGUAGAUGGCGACAC
rnacentral:rRNA from 1 species